rnacentral:rRNA from 1 species
UACAGGGGGUGCAAGCGUUAAUCGGAAUUACUGGGCGUAAAGCGUGCGUAGACGGUCAUGUAAGUCGGGUGUGAAAGCCCCGGGCUCAACCUGGGAAUUGCAUUCGAGACUGCAUGGCUAGGGUGCGGAAGAGGGAAGCGGAAUUUCCGGUGUAGCGGUGAAAUGCGUAGAUAUCGGAAGGAACACCAGUGGCGAAAGCGGCUUCCUGGUCCAGCACCGACGUUCAGGCACGAAAGCGUGGGGAGCAAACAGG